rnacentral:rRNA from 1 species
AACGAUAACGGCGUCGAGCGGCGGACGGGUGAGUAAUGCCUGGGAAUAUGCCUUGAUGUGGGGGAUAACCAUUGGAAACGAUGGCUAAUACCGCAUAAUCUCUUCGGAGCAAAGAGGGGGACCUUCGGGCCUCUCGCGUCAAGAUUAGCCCAGGUGGGAUUAGCUAGUUGGUGAGGUAAUGGCUCACCAAGGCGACGAUCCCUAGCUGGUCUGAGAGGAUGAUCAGCCACACUGGAACUGAGACACGGUCCAGACUCCUACGGGAGGCAGCAGUGGGGAAUAUUGCACAAUGGGCGCAAGCCUGAUGCAGCCAUGCCGCGUGUGUGAAGAAGGCCUUCGGGUUGUAAAGCACUUUCAGCAGUGAGGAAGGUGGUGUCGUUAAUAGCGGCAUCAUUUGACGUUAGCUGCAGAAGAAGCACCGGCUAACUCCGUGCCAGCAGCCGCGGUAAUACGGAGGGUGCGAGCGUUAAUCGGAAUUACUGGGCGUAAAGCGCAUGCAGGUGGUUUGUUAAGUCAGAUGUGAAAGCCCGGGGCUCAACCUCGGAACCGCAUUUGAAACUGGCAGGCUAGAGUACUGUAGAGGGGGGUAGAAUUUCAGGUGUAGCGGUGAAAUGCGUAGAGAUCUGAAGGAAUACCGGUGGCGAAGGCGGCCCCCUGGACAGAUACUGACACUCAGAUGCGAAAGCGUGGGGAGCAAACAGGAUUAGAUACCCUGGUAGUCCACGCCGUAAACGAUGUCUACUUGGAGGUUGUGGCCUUGAGCCGUGGCUUUCGGAGCUAACGCGUUAAGUAGACCGCCUGGGGAGUACGGUCGCAAGAUUAAAACUCAAAUGAAUUGACGGGGGCCCGCACAAGCGGUGGAGCAUGUGGUUUAAUUCGAUGCAACGCGAAGAACCUUACCUACUCUUGACAUCCAGAGAACUUUUCAGAGAUGAAUUGGUGCCUUCGGGAACUCUGAGACAGGUGCUGCAUGGCUGUCGUCAGCUCGUGUUGUGAAAUGUUGGGUUAAGUCCCGCAACGAGCGCAACCCUUAUCCUUGUUUGCCAGCGAGUAAUGUCGGG